rnacentral:rRNA from 1 species
GACGAACGCUGGCGGCGUGCCUAAUACAUGCAAGUCGAGCGGACCGACCAGGAGCUUGCUCUUGUUCGGUUAGCGGCGGACGGGUGAGUAACACGUGGGUAACCUGCCCGUAAGACCGGGAUAACUCCGGGAAACCGGAGCUAAUACCGGAUAACACCUAAGACCGCAUGGUCUUUGGUUGAAAGGCGGCUUCGGCUGCCACUUACGGAUGGGCCCGCGGCGCAUUAGCUAGUUGGUGAGGUAACGGGUCACCAAGGCGACGAUGCGUAGCCGGCCUGGGAGGGUGGACGGCCACACUGGGAAUGAGACCACGCCCAGACUGCUAAGGGAGGGAGCAGUAAGGAAUCUUCCGGAAUGGGGGAAAGGCUGGAGGAGCGACGCCGCGUGAGCGAAGAAGGUCUUCGGAUCGUAAAGAUCUGUUGUUAGGGAAGAAGAAGCGUCGUACGAAAAGGGCGGCGCGGUGACGGUACCUAACGAGAAAGCCCCGGCUAACUACGUG